rnacentral:lncRNA from 1 species
GAUCAUCUCACAGACCUUUGAAAAACAGGAGUUAUUAAGGACCAGUCUAUUCUGUCUCAGAAGAACUAAGCUGUUUUAACAUGGAAAUUGUGUCCUUUUCUGGAGAGUAUUUUGUCUGUAGAUGAAAUGAGACAAUUCUUGCCUAGUAGCUGUCUCACCAAGGAUGGUUUUUUUUUUGAGAGUUUAAGAACCUAAAGCUAAUAAUAACUACAAUUGCUAAAACAACAUAAUAUAUAAGAAUAAAACUUAACACACCCAUUUUUCAGAUUUCCUAACUUUUAUUUCAACAGCUAGAUAUUACAUCAUCUAAUUUGACAAUGACUCGGUGUGGUGCUCUAUGAAAACUUAAGUUACUCGUGAGGAAACUAGGCCUGAAAACUGCAGUUUACAUUUAACUUUAAAGUGGCAGAAUGACCCCUGGAAUCUAUUGCUGCUUACUACUAGACACAUUGAACAAAUCCUGUCCCAUAUUCCCAAUACUUUUAAAGAAAAGUCAUUUCCUGUCCCGUAAUCCCAAUACAUUUGUUUACAUUAUUUUUAAUGAAAAUGGAAUACUUUUAUAUUGUUGUUAAACUCCUAUUCACAUUCUUCCCCACAAAUUAUUAAAAGGUUAAAGUUCAAAAUAUAUAAAAGAAAUUUGUAUGCCAGAUCUGAAUGUCAUCAAGCUAUAUGUUAAAUUCUUGUAUAUAAUUAUGGUCCUAAAAAUAUUAAGCAGGUGACUGGAUUAAAUAUAAGUCAGGCAUAAAAUGCCCUACAUGUAGCUACAUAGUGAAUCAAGUAAAUGAUCAAACAGAAAUGCUCAUUUUGUGCCCUGGGCAAUUUUGGCUGCCAGCACUUAUACAUCAAAACUUCACUCAAUGUAAGAUUGAUUUUAUUUUUUGUUUGUUUUUAAUUCCCUACAGCAAGCAAGGUUAGUUUUGCUGUAUGCCGGCUGCAUCAUUAGGUUUUCAGGAAAUUACAGUUGCUUCAGAUAUGGUUGACCAAAAUAUUAUUUUCUCCUUUUAGACCAUAAAAUAUUGGUUGUGGGGUGAGUACUAGUGAGAUAAAAUUAUCAAAUACCAGUGACUCCAAUGCAGGCAGAGUGACCCACCCCCUGACCCCACGGAGAAAUCGUUGUUAUGAGAAACCAGAAAAUCUGAAAAGGAACUCUGCUUAAUCAGACAACCAGGGGCUGCAAAAUAUACUUAGUAAUUCAUAGGAGACUGUCAUGCAAAGGUUCUGAUUUCUAGUCUUAAUACAGGAUUGAAUUCCUAUGUAAGUUGCCAUAUUACUUCUUUCCACAGUUGUUUAUUAUUCUGCCUUAAAACAUGUCAAAAAAACCC